rnacentral:RNase_P_RNA from 1 species
UAGGAAAGUCCAAAGCUUUUUAGGUUUAUGCAUAAUUUAUAUAUGUUAUAUUUAUUAUAAAUAUAACUUGUAUAUAGUACAAAGGUUAAAACCUUGGUUCUUUGCAGAAAAUACAUAUUAUACUUUUAUGGUUGUAUAAUAAUAGAUAAUAUUACUUUGUACAUAAUAUAGUAUAAUAGUGAAACAAUAAGCCUAUUUCUAGCCUUUUUUUAGAUACAUUCACAGUUACAGAAACCGGCUUAUAAAUAU